rnacentral:rRNA from 1 species
AGUUGUACGUGAAACCGGUCAGGGGUAAACGGGUGGUUCCCGAAAGUGCGAAAGGGGAGAUUCAGGUUUCGCCGCGCGUCGGGACGCGCCCGAAGCAAGGGAUGGCGUUCUCGCGGCCUUGGGGCAACCCUCGGUCCGGGANNNNCCACCUUUCAGGCGCUCCCGGCGUCGGAGUGACGCACUUCUCCCCCGGUAGAACGUCGCGAUCCGUCGGUCGCCGGCCUAAGGCCCCGGGUGGAGCCUGUCGCCGCAAGACCCCGGGGAUCCCGGCCGGGUGCCCGACGGUAUGAAGAGAGGAAGGAGUCGGCGCGCCUAGGCNGUCCGCCCCUCCGCAAGCGCCCGCGGGAGUCGGAGCCGGGCCCGGCCCGGUCUGCCUUCAGCGGGGCUGUUUGCGACGGAGGUGUGCUCGGA